rnacentral:misc_RNA from 1 species
AAGUCGUAACAAGGUUUCCGUAGGUGAACCUGCGGAAGGAUCAUUAUUGAUUAGGGAUUGACACAUCUUUGUGUUUCUCCCUUGCUAUGCGUACCCAUGAAACAGCUACCUGUUAUCAAGCCCUGCCUUUUUAUUAGUUUAAAGGGUAAGACUUGUUGUAAAAUCGGUCUUUUUAAGACCGAAUCAGGUGGUGCCAACUCUUGGCAACUUUUUAAGUGUUAAUGGGUUCGCGGCAAAAAUACUUUUGUGAACAAGUACAAUCCAAUUUUAUAAAAAUGUCUUAUGUUAUUUUACGUCCUUCACUGGGCUGAUUAAUUAUUAAUUAUAAAUAACUUUUAACAACGGAUCUCUUGGCUCUC